rfam:Prosthecochloris aestuarii DSM 271, complete genome.
GGGGAUGACAGGCUUUUGACAGGGCAGGUGUGCGAUUUCGUUGCACUCCGAGUUUCAGCAUGGAUGGACUCGUUAAAGAAGUCUAUGUAACAAUUAGAUGCAGACGAUUAUUCGUAUGCAAUGGCUGCCUGAUUAGCACAAGUUAAUUCAAUCAGCCAUCGUUCGACAGGGGAGGUGCUUACUCUGAAGCUGUCGAAUGGCAUAAUCCGCGCUUGAGCUUCAGCUCGCGCAAGUAAGCUUCAUUCGUUUGUUCCCGGAGGGACGGAUGAAUACUUUUCCGGGAUAGUGUGAUGAAAUUUUGUCGGCGGAGCGGCAUCACACGAAACUCUAACCACCGAAGAUGAGUGUGGUAGCGGCUUCAAGCAAUGUUCUGGACGCGGGUUCGAAUCCCGCCAUCUCCACUA